CAACAACGCCUGAGGGCACUGAGAAGUCGUUAUUUUCAGAGGAAAACUUUGAUUUUAUGGUUUCAGACAAUGUUGAUGAUGGUGAAGAUAAGCACAGCAUUGCCCAACAUGUUGAAUGCAUGGGCAGAUGGAGUCACGGAAGCUCAUUACGUUUGUCAGCAUACAAUAAAGUUAGUGCUGCCAUCCUUCUCAUGCUGUUGCUUUUUAAAGUAAAGGAGCCAGCACUCUGCCAUUGAUCAGCUUAGGAAAUUUAGGAUGGAUGGAGGGGACAUGAUGGAGAAUGAUGGGCGUAUUGAUAUCUCCCUGAUUGUUUGCCUGCUGUACUCUUUGUAUGAUGUGUAUAUAUAGUUAAAUAUCCAAGAUGUCCAAGUUAAAAAAGGCAUAAAAUGAAUUGACUGGUCCCUAUAGCUAGUGAAAGGGUUUUUAAUUCCAUAAUUGCCUACUUCUAUAAAUUCUGCCAGAGCAUAGUUGCUUCGGUUUUCUAUUUAUUUAUUUAUAAAAAAAAUUUUACUUUGACUUUGCAGUUUAUCCCAGAGGAAUACUAUUGAAAACCUAUAUGCCACAGUGGCAUAUUUUGAGUUUUUCCACAAUGGUGGUAUGUCAUUGUAACAGUUCGUGGAAAGUAGGAAGAUGGGGCUGGCUUGACAAAACACAUAGACAUUUAUUGAUGCACUUUUCAGCCACACACAAUAACACACUGCUUCACACUACGUUAUGCUUUCCAGCUUCACUACACAUAACUCUGUUGGCUUUUCAGCUCAACACUACACACAGACAGCUUUGUGCGUCUCUCUCUCUCUCGUCUGCCACUGUCUCCUCUCCUUAAAUACUCCCGCCGCACCUCACUGGAACGUGAGACCGGUGUGGCACACAGGUGGACCUCAUUCACCACUUAUCUUCCUGGUCUGGCUCUGCCCAGACGCUGAUCUGCCCCACCCUGCUCGCCACAGUCAUGUAAUCAAUAGAAUCCAGUGUUAACUUGUAUUAAUGUUUAAGACUUCAGCCAUACUCUCCUUCAUCCCCCUGUUUUAAAGGAAAAGGUAAACAGUUAAGCCAGUUUCAUUCAUGUUCCUUAAAUGCAGUGAUUGAUUGCUACAAGGUGGCUUGUUUCUCAAUGAAUAAAUACAGUACAUUCAAAAGUUAAA